rnacentral:rRNA from 1 species
UACGUAGCAGCGAGCGUUGUUCGGAGUUACUGGGCGUAAAGAGUGCGUAGGCGGUUUCGUAAGUUUGGUGUGAAAUCUCCCGGCUUAACUGGGAGGGUGCGCCGAAAACUGCGGGGCUUGAGAGUGGGAGAGGUAAGCGGAAUUCCCGGGUGUAGCGGUGAAAUGCGUAGAUAUCGGGGAGGAACACCUGCGGUGUAGACGGCUUACUGGACCGUGACUGACGCUGAGGCACGAAAGCGUGGGUAGCAAACAGG